rnacentral:rRNA from 1 species
UACAGAGGGGGCAAGCGUUGUUCGGAAUCACUGGGCGUAAAGGGCGCGUAGGUGGUUUGAUAAGGGUGUGGUGAAAGCCCGGGGCUCAACCCCGGGUCUGCCGUGCCGACUGUCAAACUCGAGGGCUGUAGAGGCAGACGGAAUUCCGGGUGUAGCGGUGGAAUGCGUAGAGAUCCGGAGGAAGACCGGUGGCGAAGGCGGUCUGCUGGGCAGUUUCUGACACUGAGGCGCGACAGCGUGGGGAGCAAACAGG